GGGGAACGGAGGAACUGCCAGUGGGGUUUCCUGUAACUGUGCUGCUCUUGUCUGCAUCUACAUUUGGGGGCGGCUUCUGCCCUGGGGAGUGUGCAUCUCCUCCUAACGAUAACCCAGCUCGGGAAGAGAAACUUCAGUGUGGGCCGGGGUUCAAGGCGCGGAGAUCUUGAGUGCAGCGCGAGCGCGGGAUCCCCAGGAACCCCCUGCUAGAGACCGCCGCACGCGCGGGCCCGGCGUUCGUUGUUUUGGCUACGGCGCGGCGCGGCGCUGGCAACCCCGCGGCCCCUCCCCUGGGUGCGCGCGCAACCUGGGCGCCAUGGCGGCGGCGGCGGCGGCAGGCCGGCGGUCUGAGGCUGUGAGUCCGCAGUGGGCGCCGCCCCAGCACGACCCGGCCGGGGCAGCGGCGGGGCUGGGCGAUUGUGAGGACACACCGGUCCGGCCGCUGUGCAACCCCCGCGGCAUCUGCUCGCGCGCUUACUUCCUGGUGCUGAUGGUGUUCGUGCACCUGUACCUGGGCAACGUGCUGGCGCUGCUGCUCUUCGUACACUACAGCAACGGCGACGACAGCAGCGACCCCGGGCCCCAGCGCCGGGCCCAGGGCCCCGGGCCCGCGCCAACCUUAGCUCCCCUCACGCGGCUGGAGGGCAUCAAGGUGGGGUAUGAGCGCAAGGUCCAGCUGGUCGCCGACAGGGAUCACUUCAUCCGAACCCUCAGCCUCAAGCCUCUGCUCUUCGAAAUCCCUGGCUUCCUGAGUGAUGAGGAGUGUCGGCUCAUCAUCCACCUGGCACAGAUGAAGGGGUUACAACGCAGCCAGAUCCUGCCCACCGAAGAGUAUGAGGAAGCAAUGGGCACAAUGCAAAUCAGCCAGCUGGACCUCUUCCAGCUGCUGGACCAAAACCAUGAUGGUCGCCUGCAGCUCCAUGAGGUCCUGGCCCAGACUCGCCUGGGAAAUGGACGGUGGAUGACUCCAGAGAACAUUCAGGAGAUGUACUCUGCGAUCAAGGCUGACCCUGAUGGUGAUGGAGUGCUGAGCCGGCAGGAGUUCUCCAACAUGGACCUUCGUGACUUUCACAAGUAUAUGAGGAGCCACAAGGCAGAGUCCAGCCAGCUGGUGCGGAACAGCCACCACACGUGGCUCUACCAGGGCGAAGGUGCCCACCACGUUAUGCGCACCAUCCGCCAGAGGGUACUGCGCCUCACCCGCCUGUCACCUGAGAUCGUGGAGCUCAGCGAGCCGCUGCAGGUCGUGCGGUAUGGUGAGGGAGGCCACUACCAUGCCCAUGUGGACAGCGGGCCUGUGUACCCAGAGACCAUCUGCUCCCAUACCAAGCUGGUAGCCAAUGAGUCUGUACCCUUCGAGACCUCCUGCCGCUACAUGACAGUGCUGUUUUAUUUGAACAACGUCACCGGUGGGGGCGAGACUGUCUUUCCUGUAGCAGACAACAGAACCUAUGACGAAAUGAGUCUGAUUCAGGACGAUGUUGACCUCCGUGACACUCGGAGGCACUGUGACAAGGGGAACCUGCGUGUCAAGCCCCGCCAGGGCACAGCAGUCUUCUGGUACAACUACCUGCCUGAUGGGCAAGUGCCUCCCAAAGACCAUCCUCAGUGACUUCAGCAGCCUGCACCUGUGCAGCCUCCUGGGCUCUCUGGAACCCUGUCAUUCCUUGAUGCCCCAGCCUUCCAGCUGACUGGGCUGGGGACACGUGCACCUUGGUAGCCCAGACUGGGAAGGGCUGCAGACAGGCCUGGCAGCAAGAAAGCUGAUUUCAGAGAGCCAGUGGUGUUGAUAAGGCAUUCGCUGGAGAAAGAUGCUGAGCCCCCAAGGAGGCCUUGUGGCCAGAUGUCUGCCACUGAAGGUGUGCACAGCUGGGCCUACCCUUGCCAUGCACUUGGGCAAUAUGAGGACAAGCUCAGGUUGGGUGGGCGACGUGGACGACUACUCGCUGCACGGGGGCUGCCUGGUCACGCGCGGCACUAAGUGGAUCGCCAACAACUGGAUCAACGUGGACCCCAGCCGGGCGCGGCAGGCGCUGUUCCAGCAGGAGAUGGCGCGCCU